rnacentral:misc_RNA from 1 species
CUCUGAAUCCACAAGUCCUCAGUCUGGUCGGCAGCUCUCUGUCAUCGCCAUCGUAACCUAUCUCUCAGUCAGUCAGUCUCGCUUCUACACAGACGGACGUCAAACUCGCCGCUUCUCAGUCCUCAUAGGGUUUUAGGGUUAAAGAAUUGAGAUGUCGAGCUUUCAUGUUGGAGGGAAAGUGGUGGAGAGAGUGGAUUUGUUGAGGAAGAAGCAUUGGGCAUGGCGUUUGGAUGUAUGGCCUUUUGCUAUUUUAUACGUUCUCUGUAUUACUGCUAUUGUCC